UUUACUUUGGCAGAUUAAUGUGUGUGAUUUAGAAUCACAAGAUGACGUACGUCAAGUAGGU
rnacentral:tRNA from 2 species